CGCACCUUGCGCUCCUUGGUAUUCCGAGGAGCAUGCCUGUUUGAGUGUCUUGAAGUCAUCAACCCAUCCUGUUUCGUUACGGGUCGGGUUGGAUGUGGGGGCUCUGCUGCCGCCAAGGUGGCUCCCCUUAAAUGCAUCGGUUGGGCCUGUGGGUCAAACUCGACUGGGCGUUGUACCAUCCUCGCUCGACGGAGACGGACCCCUACCGUGCCCUUCCUCGACCAGCCUGUCGGAGUGGCGGUCAAAAGCAAACUUUGAAAUCUGACCUCAAAUCAGGUAGGACUACCCGCUGAACUUAA
rnacentral:misc_RNA from 1 species